GUCGAGAAUAAUUCACAAUGGACGAAAGUCUGAUGGUGCAACGCCGCGUGGAGAAUGAAGGUCUUCGGAUUGUAAACUCCUGUCAUCGGGGAGUAAGACCUGGCGGUAAAUAGCCGACAGGGUUGAUAGUACCCGAAGAGGAAGGGACGGCUAACUUCGUGCCAGCAGCCGCGGUAAUACGAAGGUCCCAAGCGUUGUUCGGAAUCACUGGGCGUAAAGGGAGCGUAGGCGGCGUGGUAAGUCAGAUGUGAAAUCCCGGGGCUCAACGCCGGAACUGCAUCCGAUACUGCCAUGCUUGAGGGUUGGAGAGGUAGCUGGAAUUCUCGGUGUAGCAGUGAAAUGCGUGGAUAUCGAGAGGAACACUCGUGGCGAAGGCGAGCUACUGGACAACAUCUGACGCUGAGGCUCGAAGGCCAGGGGAGCAAAAGGGAUUAGAAACCCGUGUAGUCC
rnacentral:rRNA from 1 species